rnacentral:rRNA from 1 species
UCAGGAUGAACGCUGGCGGCGUGCUUAACACAUGCAAGUCGAACGAAGCGCAUUGUUUGAAUUCUUCGGAAGGAAGAUAAUGUGACUGAGUGGCGGACGGGUGAGUAACGCGUGGGUAACCUGCCAUGUACAGGGGGACAACAGUUGGAAACGGCUGCUAAUACCGCAUAAGCGCACGAGAUUGCAUGAUCUAGUGUGAAAAACUCCGGUGGUAUAUGAUGGACCCGCGUCUGAUUAGCUAGUUGGUAAGGUAACGGCUUACCAAGGCGACGAUCAGUAGCCGACCUGAGAGGGUGACCGGCCACAUUGGGACUGAGACACGGCCCAGACUCCUACGGGAGGCAGCAGUGGGGAAUAUUGCACAAUGGGCGAAAGCCUGAUGCAGCGACGCCGCGUGAACGAAGAAGUAUUUCGGUAUGUAAAGUUCUAUCAGCAGGGAAGAAGAAAUGACGGUACCUGACUAAGAAGCCCCGGCUAACUACGUGCCAGCAGCCGCGGUAAUACGUAGGGGGCAAGCGUUAUCCGGAUUUACUGGGUGUAAAGGGAGCGCAGGCGGCCCGGCAAGUCUGAUGUGAAAACCCAAGGCUCAACCAUGGGAUUGCAUUGGAAACUGUCGAGCUAGAGUAUCGGAGGGGUAAGUGGAAUUCCUAGUGUAGCGGUGAAAUGCGUAGAUAUUAGGAGGAACACCAGUGGCGAAGGCGGCUUACUGGACG